rnacentral:rRNA from 1 species
UAAGUCAGAUGUGAAAUCCCCGGCUUAACCUGGGAACUGCAUCUGAAACUGUUAGGCUAGAGUAGGUGAGAGGGAAGUAGAAUUUCAGGUGUAGCGGUGAAAUGCGUAGAGAUCUGAAGGAAUACCGAUGGCGAAGGCAGCUUCCUGGCAUCAUACUGACACUGAGGCUCGAAAGCGUGGGUAGCAAACAGGAUUAGAUACCCUGGUAGUCCACGCCGUAAACGAUGUCUACUAGUCGUUGGGUCCCUUGAGGACUUAGUGACGCAGCUAACGCAAUAAGUAGACCGCCUGGGGAGUACGGCCGCAAGGUUAAAACUCAAAUGAAUUGACGGGGGCCCGCACAAGCGGUGGAGCAUGUGGUUUAAUUUGAUGCAACGCGAAGAACCUUACCUGGUCUUGACAUAUCUAGAAUCCUGCAGAGAUGCGGGAGUGCCUUCGGGAAUUAGAAUACAGGUGCUGCAUGGCUGUCGUCAGCUCGUGUCGUGAGAUGUUGGGUUAAGUCCCGCAACGAGCGCAACCCUUGUCCUUAGUUACCAGCGGGUUAAGCCGGGAACUUUAAGGAUACUGCCAGUGACAAACUGGAGGAAGGCGGGGAAGACGUCAAGUCAUCAUGGCCCUUACGACCAGGGCUACACACGUGCUACAAUGGUAGGUACAGAGGGCAGCUACACAGCGAUGUGAUGCGAAUCUCAAAAAGCCUAUCGUAGUCCAGAUUGGAGUCUGCAACUCGACUCCAUGAAGUAGGAUUCGCUAGUAAUCGCGGAUCAGAAUUCCGCGGUGAAUACGUUCCUAGGGCCUGGUACACGCCCCCUAACUCGCCACAAGGUAACCACUAGAGUUUGAUCAUGGCUCAGUAAGUCGUAACAAGGUAACCACUAGAGUU